rnacentral:rRNA from 1 species
GAUGAACGCUGGCGGCGUGCCUAAUACAUGCAAGUCGAGCGAACGGACGAGAAGCUUGCUUCUCUGAUGUUAGCGGCGGACGGGUGAGUAACACGUGGAUAACCUACCUAUAAGACUGGGAUAACUUCGGGAAACCGGAGCUAAUACCGGAUAAUAUUUUGAACCGCAUGGUUCAAAAGUGAAAGACGGUCUUGCUGUCACUUAUAGAUGGAUCCGCGCUGCAUUAGCUAGUUGGUAAGGUAACGGCUUACCAAGGCAACGAUGCAUAGCCGACCUGAGAGGGUGAUCGGCCACACUGGGACUGAGACACGGUCCAGACUCCUACGGGAGGCAGCAGUAGGGAAUCUUCCGCAAUGGGCGAAAGCCUGACGGAGCAACGACGCGUGAGUGAUGAAGGUCUUCGGAUCGUAAAACGCUGUUAUUAGGGAAGAACAUAUGUGUAAGUAACUGUGCACAUCUUGACGGUACCUAAUCAGAAAGCCACGGCUAACUACGUG